UUUUUGAUAAAUAAUUUAAAGUCUAAUCUGCCCACUGAUAAAAUAUUAAAGGGCUGCAGUAUUUUGACUGUACAAAGGUAGCAUAAUCAUUAGUCUCUUAAUUGGUGACUUGUAUGAAAGAUUUAAUGAGAUAUAUACUGUCUCUUUUUAAUUUAUAAAAUUUAAUUUUUUAGUUAAAAAGCUAAAAUGUAUUUAAAAGACGAGAAGACCCUAUAGAGUUUAAUAUUUAAUUGAAUUAAAAUUUUUUAUAAGAUUUAAAAUUUUAAUUUAAUUAAAUAUUUUAUUGGGGUGAUAAAAAAAUUAAAAAAACUUUUUUUAUAAAUUUACAUUAAUAAAUGGGUAAAUGAUCCGUAAUUUACGAUUAAAAGAAAAAAUUACCUUAGGGAUAACAGCGUAAUUUUUUUUUUUAGUUCAAAUAAGAAAAAAAGUUUGCGACCUCGAUGUUGGAUUAAGAUAAAAUUUAAAUGCAAAAGUUUAAAAUUUUUGAUCUGUUCGAUCAUUAAAAUCUUACA
rnacentral:rRNA from 1 species